rnacentral:rRNA from 1 species
AUUGAACGCUGGCGGCAUGCCUUACACAUGCAAGUCGAACGGCAGCACGGGAGCAAUCCUGGUGGCGAGUGGCGAACGGGUGAGUAAUAUAUCGGAACGUGCCCAGUCGUGGGGAUAACGUAGCGAAAGCUACGCUAAUACCGCAUACGAUCUAUGGAUGAAAGCGGGGGAUCGCAAGACCUCGCGCGAUUGGAGCGGCCGAUAUCAGAUUAGGUAGUUGGUGAGGUAAAGGCUCACCAAGCCAACGAUCUGUAGCUGGUCUGAGAGGACGACCAGCCACACUGGAACUGAGACACGGUCCAGACUCCUACGGGAGGCAGCAGUGGGGAAGUUUUU